AAUAAGAGGUGGGAGGCAGCCUCACAAGUUAGCAAUGCAGGGAAUGUUACAAGGAGUUAGCUUCAGUAUGAAAAAAACAUUUGUUUAGAGGCAUGGGAUAGAAUCACUGAAAUGCUGAGACAACUGUUCCUUCUCCUCCCUUGAGCUAAGACCCUGAAAGCUGAACCAGUACCAUCUCCUUGGAGCACCUUCUGAGGGUCCCUCUAGCCUACAAAGUGUAGUCAAGUGGAAUUUGUGCGCUUUCCUGAUUCAGGCCCAAUCCAGUCUUCCUAUGCCAGCCACAGAGCAGUCCCAUACUCCCUUCUGCUCAAUCCUACCCUGCCUCUUCUGCCUGUGAGUAUCCUAUUCACUUGGCUUGGAUUACCUUUCUUGCUCAUCUGCAGUAGACUUUACCAAUGCUCCCUGCUAUCUGGAUCUCUUCCACGUUCAGAGCAGCUGUGUCUCAUAAGAUGUUAAUACUGCAGAUGUCCUGAGAAGUAUGUGUCUUCCAUGGUCAAGCUGUCACCUAGGCUGGAGUGCAGUGAUGUGAUUAUGGCCCACUGAAGCCUCAAUCUCCAAGACUCAAGUGAUCCUCCUGCCUCAGCCCCUCUCCAAGUAGCUGGGACUACAGAAGCGUACAGGUAGCAGACCAGCAAGUUAACUACAUAAUCACAUCUCUCAGUAGAACGUGACUACCAUUCCUGCAAGAACCUUAAACAAACACUUAUCACCAUCAAGAUGCCUAUUCUGGCAGAAGCCCAUUCCUCCAUCUGCAUGGAUGAUCAGAACAGAAAACAAUCCGGGAAUAUGUUGCUGUUUAGAAUUGGUUGUUGUGAGGACAAACCGAAGUGAUUCAUAAAGCACUGUACAAAUUCAGAGUAUCACAGUGAUGACUGAACACUCUGGAUUCAGGAAAUCCUUCAGCUGGAAGUCUUGCUAGGACAGAGGUAUGUGCUGUAUUGCUCCCUGAGAGGAAACCUGAUGUAAAACAAACUCAGCCUCAAGGCUGAUGUGCCUCUGAAUCUCCCCUCAGAGCAGCUAACGGCUCUAGAACUAAUAAGGUCCCAGUGGACUUUUUCUUUAAAGAAGCUUUUAAUGUUACCAGGAACUGACAGCAACGCUGUCCACAUCAAUCCCACUCAGACCCCAGCCUCUGGAAGACAUGACCUUAGAAACUCUGCAGAACUUUUCUGUCACGUUCCACCUAUGUCAACAUUCAUGCCACCCACUGUCCCAUGUCGAGUUCUAAGAAGUUAAGAUCUGUACCUGUUAAAAUGGACUUCUAGAUUUCCAAAAAAGAGUUUCAUGGGACUGUGGGCAUUUCACAUAGUUAGGCUAUCCACGGGCCUGGCCUUUCCAGAAAUGGUCAACUUCAUGUAAUCUUCUUAUCCAUAAAGGCAAAGAUUAAUUAAAUGUGUAACUAAAUAUAAUUAAUUUUUAUAACUCUCUUACAUAUUUAUUUAAAUAAACCCAUAAAUCAGAAAUGACGUUUUUUUUCCUCAGACUGAUCUUCUUGAGACUUGAUUUUUUUACUUGGAAAAUAUAGUUACUGUAAAUACUAUAAACUCUGGUUAACCAGCAUGUUCAGAGAAUAUAAAGCUGUAGUAACCUUUAAAUGCAAAGGAAGAGGAGGAGGAGGAGGAGGAGGAGGAAGAAAAGGAAGAGGAGGAGGAAGAGUGAUAAUUAAUAUCAAAUACAUUAAUACAAGCAGGUUUUAUUAACUGUACUUUUAACAGAUGAUGAAACACAUUCAGAGAGACCCAACAGCAAGUAAAUUACAAUGCCAGAAUUAGAACCCAAAUUUGGCUCACUCAGAGGCGCUCAAUCUCUGCUUCAUUCAGGUCUCUGCUCAAACAUUACCUCCUUACAGAGGCCUUCCUUGACCACACGAUUGAAAAUGUCCCAGCUGUCAGCCUGGCUCCCUCCUUCCCUGCCAUCAACUUGCUGUCUUUUUCAGUCCCCUUACCUGGCUUUAGUUUCCUUCAUAGUACUUAGCUGUAUGUUUGUUUAAAAACAUGUCUCCUGUUUGAUAGAAUGCAAGUUAAGCAGGGAUUUUAAAUUAUUCACUGCUUUAUCUCUAAUGCCUAGAAUAGUGUCUGAGACAUAAUUGGUACUAAAUGAACAAACGAAUAAAAGACCCUAAAAUGCAUGCAUUUUUCAUUACGUCUCACUGAAAGGGAACAGUAAGAAAGCGGAUACAUAUAUACACUGCAUUAUGUCAUAAUUCUUUCAUGAUCUGGGUGGUAUGAUUAUAGAAUAAAGGUUCAAAUUGAUUGUGGAGAUCACUCAUUAAUAUUUCUACUAAGGGAAAAGAGUAGCUGUCUCCUAGAAACUGAAGGAACCCUUUACAACUGUAGCAGUGUGCUCUUUUUCACACUCACAAUCUCUCCUUCCUAUCAACUCUGACAUAAGAAUACACAGGACUCUUUUCACGACAAGUCCAAGAAUUUGGUUAGAUUAUUUUUGCCAUAUAAAGGACCAUUUAAUACCAAAACAAACCUCCCACAUCAAACAGUUAAUUCCACAACCACGAAACCUCUUCUGACUCACCAAGAAAAGCCACAUCAACACAGGCACAAGGGAUUCAUUUAUUACACCAAAAGAGUCUCUUCAGUACUUCUUAAGUAACUAUAAUUUUUGGUCAUUUAAAUAAUUUUGCAUUUAAUGUAGGCUCUACUUCCAGAUUUUUCUGAAACUGAUGGAAGACAUACCUAAUAAAAAUGCAUUUCAAGAAAAAGAAACAGAUUAUGAACAUCUCGUUUCAUCUGGGUUUAUGUGAGACUUAACAUUCACUAUUCUUACUAGACAUUCUCCCUGGGAAGGUAAAACUUUUUUAAAAAGUAAUGCCUCCAAGGUACAUCGUGAAGGCAGACAUCUGCUUUAUUCAGGCAAAGUAAGUGCCCAGUAAGUGUUGGCUCACCAGAUCAUGUAUGUCUUUCACAUAGCAAAUAUUCCGAGUUCUAAGUCACAAAUCGAAUACUCAACAAUUCCGCCUAGAAUAGAGGAGUAACCAUGUCUGUGGGAGGGGGAAGGGUUGGGAAGAGAUCUGUUCUUCUUCCUGAUACCCAUGAGCAGAAUACUGUCACACAGACCUAUUUUGUGUUUUUAUAAUUACCCAAAUUCUCUUCUUUUGUCAGAAUUCAUUCUCAGUAACAGCUUGAGCAAUGUAGCAAUCGUGCUCUGAAAUGACUUGUAAACCACAGACACAAAUAUUUGGGCCAAGAAUGUGGAAUCCAUUGCUGUCACAUUCCAUUAUUUCUGGUGGAGCAAUUCACUAACAUUUUGGAAUCUAGAUCAUAAAUUAUGCAGAGCCUCAGCAAAAGAGCUGAGGAAACAAACUGCUGUAAUAAAACUCCUGUUACUGGAGCCAUAAAAACAGAACAAAGGAAAGGCAAAGAAGAAAAAUAGUGGUUGGACUUUUCUGACAUGCCUUGUCCACCAUUGUUACUGGUUUCAAAAAUGAUAAUGUAACAAUCGGAAAACCAUCAGGCAAGCCAAAAAUGAUACAAUAGGCAUACUGUCAUUCAUAAACAUCACCACCACCAUGAGAGUCCCCAGAAUAAAAUUAGCUUUUUGAAGAAUGCCUGAAUGUUGACAUAAAUUAAAGUGCCUAAAUGUACAUACAACCAAGCCAUCUGUACAUUUUUCAUGACUCUCCAGGGGUGUGAAAUGUCCUUCAACAACAGCACUUGGAUAGUGGUCGCAUUUUCUGUUGGGACAUAUCAUAAAUGUCAGAGGGAGAAAGAGAUCUGUGUCACAUGUGAACUGAAGCAGGUCCCUUUCCCUCUCUGUGGAAACUGACUUAAUGGCAGAGCUGGGACUAAAACCCACAUCUCUUGACUCCCAAGAUAAGAAUGACUUUUAUUUUGCAGUAUGAUGCCUAGAGCAUGGUAGGGGCUCAAAAAUUACUUUGUGAACGGAAGAAUGACAGAAUGAAUGGAUAG
rnacentral:lncRNA from 10 species